rnacentral:rRNA from 1 species
GACGAACGCUGGCGGCGUGCUUAACACAUGCAAGUCGAGCGGUAAGGCCCUUUUGGGGGUACACGAGCGGCGAACGGGUGAGUAACACGUGGGUGACCUGCCCUCAGCUCUGGGAUAAGCCUGGGAAACUGGGUCUAAUACUGGAUAUGACCUUUCCUCGCAUGGGGGUUGGGUGGAAAGUUUUUCGGCUGGGGAUGGGCCCGCGGCCUAUCAGCUUGUUGGUGGGGUGAUGGCCUACCAAGGCGACGACGGGUAGCCGGCCUGAGAGGGCGACCGGCCACACUGGGACUGAGACACGGCCCAGACUCCUACGGGAGGCAGCAGUGGGGAAUAUUGCGCAAUGGGCGGAAGCCUGACGCAGCGACGCCGCGUGGGGGAUGACGGCC